UUCAGCAGUGUUGCGGCAGAUCUACCUCUGACUGGUAUCAGGGUGUUAGACCUCACAAGGGUAUUAGCGGGGCCUUUUGCCACCAUGGUCCUCGGCGACCUUGGAGCUGAGGUCAUCAAGGUAGAGAGACCAGACACAGGAGAUGACACGCGGUCCUGGGGUCCACCGUUCUGUGGAACAGAGAGCGCCUACUUUCUAUCAGUUAACAGGAACAAGAAGAGCAUCGCUGUGAACCUCAAAGAUCCGAAGGGGGCCAAGAUUAUCAAACAGCUUGCAGAGAAGAGUGAUGUUCUAGUGGAGAACUACCUGCCAGGGAAGCUGGAGGAGAUGGGUCUGGGGUACCACCAUCUGAGGCAGCAUGCUCCUCAUCUCAUCCACUGUUCUAUCACAGGCUAUGGUUCAGAUGGUCCAUAUGCUAAGAGGGGAGGCUAUGAUGUCAUUGCUGCAGCUAUGGGAGGCCUCCUACAUAUAACAGGACCAGAGGAUGGAGACCCUGUGCGUGUGGGGGUGGCCAUGACAGAUCUGGCCACGGGACUGAUGGCUCACGGAGCCAUCAUGGCGGCACUGCUGCAGCGACAUCGCACCGGCGUGGGCCAGCACAUCGACUGUAAUCUCCUGUCUACACAGGUAGCCUGCAUUUCCCAUAUUGCUGCGAACUAUCUAAUGGCUGGUCAGGAGGCCAGACGCUGGGGAACUGGACAUGAGAGCAUCGUGCCUUACCAGGCAUUCAAGACAGCUGAUGGCCGCUUAAUCGUUGGUGCAGGGAACAACAAUCUGUUCAGAACCCUCUGUAAGGGUUUAGAACUCGAGCACCUUGCUGAUGACCCACGCUAUGCCAGCAACCAACUCAGGGUGGAAAACAGGAAGCAGCUUAUAGCAACUCUGGCACAAAGAUUUUCAGAGAAAACUACUGAUGAAUGGUUUGCAGUGUUUGAGGGCAGCGGCUUUCCCUACGGGCCAAUAAACAACAUGGAGCAGGUUUUCUCCAACCCCCAGGUUCUUCACAACAAGAUGAUUCUUGAGAUGGACCAUCCAGGUGCUGGGACUGUAAGGGUGCCAGGGCCCGCAGUUAAGUACACUGGAAGUGAGAGGGAAACGCAUUUGCCGCCUCCCACUCUGGGCCAACACACAGCCGAGGUCCUCGGCAAUCUCUUGCAGUACACCGAAAAAGAGAUGCAAGACUUGUCCCAAGUCGGUGCAAUUCGUAUUCAAGAUUCCUAACUGGAACGUUGCAAUCCAAGGCUAUUAAUUGACAGAUUUCAAUUACAGAAUAGUGGCAGUGCAGAUGUGUGCAACGCAAGAUUCAAGUUUAUCAAUAGCCAAAGGCAUUAAAAAACCAAAAAAAAAUCACAAGACAUCACAACACAUACAGGAACCUGCUUGAAAAGGAUGGAAUUCCGUACAUCCGAGGAUACUAUGAUAAACACAGUUCCAGAUUCUGGAGUUAAACUUACAGGAUGGACAGUUCCCUCCCAACAUCAGAACGUACAGUCGCUGAGAUGUGUUCCUGUUCCACAGUGCGUCAGGUAGGAAAAUUGCCGAUCUGUUGUCUUCCUUGGUAUACAUGUUGUAUAUGUUGCUACCUCGUAAGAAACAAGAGGUAUGCGUAAAGGGAAUACUUUUAACCUGCAGGAAAAAGCUUCUUGUCGUAAGUGGUGUCGUGAUGGUCAAAAAAUGAGUACAAUUCCACUGUUGUUUCGUUGCGAUUGUUAUACCGUAUCCUCAAACAAAUAAGUAUGCUUCUGGUGAAAAGGGAAGAGAUAAAUUAUAACGUCGUUCUACAAAGGGUUGAGCCGGAAAACGGGUUUUCAUGUAAUCGUGUAUGAAUUUGACCAGAUCGUAAAACUGGUCGUUAGAUUGUAACGAUUAACACUUGUGUUAGCAAAAGAUUUGUUCAAAUAAUUUUAACACUCAGAUACUUUAUUUUAGAUGUCAAGUUCAUGUUAGAAUACGGUUGAGAACAGUAAUGUAUCGACAGCAUCAGAAAAUGAUUUUAUAUUCUUGGUAAUGUCAAGCUUUUAAGACAAAGUGCAAUCAGAAUGUGUACCCCUGAAUACCAUGAAAUUGUUGCUAAGAAAAUUCUAAUUAAACUGUAAGGAAUAAAUGGAUUUUAGAUGGCAACUAUUUUGCAGAUGUUUGAUCUUUUUUAUCAAAAGUGUGAAUCAUUCUUAAGGAGAAGUGACUCAGAGAAUCUUGUGACAAAAUAUUUUGGUGAUAAUCACUAAGGGAUAAAAUAUUGGUAUACGUAUUUGUAAAGACGGUAUUAUUCAGUGAAUUAGUAGUAUGCUAUACGCGUAUUAUUUGAAGUUAUUUGCAAUAUUGUGUAUUUUCGAACGAAAUUUUUUACCACCGAGAGUGACUUGGAAGUUUAACACAAUAAGAUCACGCCAUGCAAAGACUUCAAAUCGUUAUGUCAGAAUAUAGUUUUACCUGAAUUUGCUACAAACGUGCCUGUGUUCAGAUCUGUGCGUUUUCAUUUUCACUUCCUAUUUGUUUACCGUUAUAUAUCUGAAGUGUUGGAAAAUAAAUUUCGGGACAAUAACUGAAUAGAAACAGACUACUAAUACAUUAACGUGUUUGACAAAUAAAGCAUUGAUUUUGAUUUAACCC